ensembl:lncRNA KAZN-AS1 KAZN antisense RNA 1
GCGAGGGUCCACGGCUUCGUUCUUGAAGUCAGUGAGACCAAGAACCCACAAAUUCCGGACACUUCCCCACACAGAGGGAACUGGCCUAACACUCUGGUGGUGCCAAUAGGAUGUACUGACAGAUCAGAAGUGGUCGUGAGAGAAGGAGCAAGUAGCCAGAAGAGUGAAGUGUGCACUGGCUGAGAUGUGGGAGCAGGUGUUGUUGGUUUCCCCGGAGUAAGUUACCUUGACAAGAAGGCCCUCGCCAGAUAUCAAGGCCUUAAGCUUGGACUUCCCAGCCUCCAGAACUGUCUUAUGUAUCAACAAAAUCACACCAGACCACCCAAAGCUGGCCCUGCCAACUGACCACACACACCCCUGCCUGAAAGGCAUGUUUCAAUGUGCAACAGACGCCUGCCACUCAGGGGACAUCAAAUGUUCAUGAGAACUCGCUAACCUCGAAACAGGUUCUACAAAUUCAAAAAAACCACCCGUGGCCUGGCUCUGGGCUGAAGCUGAGUCCUGGCUUGAAAUCCCCUGCCUUAAUCUCUCUUCGAAGACUUUUCUGCAUUCAUCUGAGUCCUCAUCCUCCAAGGCAGGGCUCAGGCUUGGGCUCAGGCUCCCAGCCAUGUAUCCCUCCUGGACCAUUCCUGACUCCUUUCCAGUAUCCUUAUCACUUGUACCACAUACGUUGGCCUUUGAUCCUGUGUACUGUUGGAUUUGUCUUUACUUCACAGGUUCAUCUUGUCUCCCCAAGAACAAUGAGAGUUGCCUCAAGGGGUAGAACCAUGCUUUUUGUUUUCUUUUGAAUUCAUUACAGCACAGCCAAAAGCUCAACACACAAAACACACUCAGUAAAUAUCUGUUGAACAGAAUAAAAGCCAUUCCGC